UAGUGUGUUUGCUAAAUAAGGAAAUAAGAGGUAGAAGAUUCCCUCAGACGAGCUGAGAGUAGAGAGGCUGGGCUUCCUUCCCCAUGGGAGAGGUGGUUAAGAAAGGAGCCUCACCUAGACUGUCCUUGCCUCACACUU